rnacentral:rRNA from 1 species
GAUGAACGCUGGCAGUAUGCUUAACACAUGCAAGUCGAACGGACUCUUCGGAGUUAUUGGCGGACGGGUGAGUAACGCGUGAGAAUCUGGCUUUGGGUUCGGGACAACCACUGGAAACGGUGGCUAAUACCGGAUGUGCCGAGAGGUAAAAGAGAAAUUGCCUGAAGAUGAGCUCGCGUCUGAUUAGCUAGUUGGUGAGGUAAAGGCUCACCAAGGCAGCGAUCAGUAGCUGGUCUGAGAGGAUGACCAGCCACACUGGGACUGAGACACGGCCCAGACUACUACGGGAGGCAGCAGUGGGGAAUUUUCCGCAAUGGGCGAAAGCCUGACGGAGCAAUACCGCGUGAGGGAAGAAGGCUCUUGGGUUGUAAACCUCUUUUCUUAGGGAAGAACAAAAUGACGGUACCUAAGGAAUAAGCAUCGGCUAACUACGUG